rnacentral:rRNA from 1 species
GGGGUUAGUAAGUUGGUCAUGCCUUCGGUAUGUACUGGCUUUACUGAUUCCUCCUUCUUGACGAACCGUGAUGUCAUUAAUUUGGUGUUGCGGGAAAUCAGGACUGUUACUUUGAAAAAAUUAGAGUGUUUAAAGCAGGCUAACGCUUGAAUACAUUAGCAUGGAAUAAUGAAAUAGGACGUUAAUCCUAUUUUGUUGGUUUCUAGGAUCGACGUAAUGAUUAAUAGGGAUAGUUGGGGGCAUUAGUAUUCAAUUGUCAGAGGUGAAAUUCUUGGAUUUAUUGAAGACUAACUACUGCGAAAGCAUUUGCCAAGGAUGUUUUCAUUAAUCAAGAACGAAGGUUAGGGGAUCAAAGACGAUCAGAUACCGUCGUAGUCNNAACCAUAAACUAUGCC